rnacentral:lncRNA from 1 species
AUUUUUGAAAAAAAAAUAAAAUAAAAUUUGAAAUUACGUACCAAACCUAAAAAAGAUAUAGCACCUAAUUAGUAUUCCAAAAAAAAAAAAACGACUUAAGAAAACUCAACAAAUUUGUUCAAGUUGUCAUUCUAAAUCUCAACAUUAAGUCGACCAUACAUCGUAUUUUCACCAUAACAAAUUACCGUACUCAUAAAUGAGCUAUCAUUUGUAGGUUUGGGCGCUUCCUAAGCAAGGAAUUACCAAAACAUAAAAGACACAUCAUCAUGAUAAGGACGGUAGUGAAACCCUAAUGCUAUAAAUGUGAACGUGUUCCUAUUUCUUUAUCUUUCUGUGCUACUUUCUCAGCAAAAUUCUUACACUCUUAUUGUAAAAUAGGUUUAUUUAAAAAAAAUUUUAAAAUACAUUGUUUUUAUUUACUAUAAAAAGAAUAAAACUAUUAGAGGUGGAAUGUAAAACCGAAAAAUUCCCAAAAAAUACCAAGCUUCUAAAAGGCCCCGCCUAGGACCGCCUAGUCCCCGCCUAGGCUCUAGGCUGCAACAAGCCGCCUCGCUUUUCUUCCAGGCCUUUGUGCCAGGCUGUGAGCGAUUAGGCGGCCACCUAGCUCGCCUAAAUGCCGCCUAGCCCGCCUAGAUGCCGCCUUGCCCGCCUAGGCUGCUAAGCUCUAAGGCUAUUUUGUUUUUUUUUGUGUGGGAUUGUUAUUUUGUGGGGAGUAUGAGAGUAUAAGAGUUAAUUGUGUGUUUAAAAUUAGAAGUGUAUAUGUUUAUUGCUGUUGUUGCUCACUUUUACAGGAAGUUAUGUUAAAUUUAGUUAUAAUUUAUUUUAUAAAUGAGUAUGACUAGAUUAUGUUGAAUAAUUUAUCUAUAUUUGACCGUUUUCAAAUAUUAAAUUGCAUAAAAUAUAUAUUUUUAAUUAAUACAUCUUAAAAAAUACAAAUCGCCUAGUCCCCACCUAAUCUUCGCCUAGGCUGUCCAGGCUCUAGGCUGUGGGUUACCGCCCGCCUAGCGCCUAACGCCUUUUAGAACAUUGAAAAAUACACAACCUACCUUGAACCUGACUUGUUUUUUGGAUCUGCCACAUAUAAGAUUUUUGUUAUCAAAACCAAAGAUCUAUCGCCCAUUGGUUUUGCAAAACCCCCUGUUCUAGAAUCCUCCACCUCGCCCUAUAAAUGUAAAAAAAAAUGUAUCAGCACAAACACAUCCUUAUUACAUCUUAUGAUGAUAUGAUUAAUUAGGUCUUGGUUACGAUUCAGACAUGAAUGUUGAUGGUGUUUCAGGUCUCUCAAAGCCUAGACGAAGAGGUGGAUUGUUUAGCGUUUAGAGUUCAAAUAAUCGAAUUCAUGAUCUACCAAACGAAGCUAUCACUCUCAUUAUUUUUCUCUUGUAUAUAUAUUAAAAAUGUCCCAUUAAUGUUAAAUCACAAGCGCGCCUAUGCCAACUGAAUGAACCGUUAUUUUUUGUCUUGGUUACAUUUCAUACAAUCUCGACCCUGAAAUAUGCAGAUGGACCCAAUUUUGGAAUGAUUUCUGCUACGGCCUAGAAGUGUUGCUUGGAAAGAAGAUCAUAUAUAAUUACAGAGGGAACUAAUGUUAACAAGGGCAACAAGGGACAAAUUGGCAAAUUGCUGAAGCUAAGCAGAUUUAAUCAAUAUUUUAUUCGUUCGAUACAUCUCUCUUUUCGUCUUCUCUGUCAAGUCCAAAGUUGUCAGCAUUCAUGCGGCUUUCUUAUGUGCUAGAUAUGUACAAGUGUUUGAGAGAUUUAUGUUGGUCAACCACUCCUCUUCAAGUCUCACGCUUUACUAGUUAGGUUGUUUGCUGCCAUUGGCGAGACGCUCUUCUGACAUUCAUAUGUGUAGGUUACAUUAGUUCUUCAAAUCAAAUGUUCCUUCCAAAAAAAAGCCCACCAUAGUUCAUCAGAAAUCAUAUGUCAAUCAUAAAUAAUUCCAAAAUUGAGUUCAUCAGUUUCAUUUUAUCAAUGAAACAACCGAUUUCCUAUAUAUACUUAACCGUUUUCCUAAUAUCUAAUUUAAACAAUCAAAUCAAAUGUUCCUUCCAAAAAAACAACUGAAACAUCAAUAACUUCAACAAUCAUAACCAUUUGCACCUUGUAAAACUACAAAUUGGACUAACAUAAUGAUUGUGAACAAACAAAUAAAGACGUUAUUAAAGUAAUACUCUUUGCUAAUUGGUGCUUGUUAGAAUAUAUGUACUUUAUAUAAAUUCUCGAUAUUAUUUCGGGACUUCUAGAUGUUUAUU